UGAAUUUAGGUGAGCUUCUUUAGACAAUUUUACGGAUCAGUUACUAAAGCUGACUAUGUAGCAUUACGACAUGGAUUUAUCAUGGCACAUUUGGCACCAGGAAGUGAAGCCAAAUUUGAUUUCCAGAAGUAUAUACAUAGAUCACUUGAAGAGGAUUUCAAAAUCGUUGUAGGAAUAAGGUAAGUUAUGAUUUUUUUUAAACAAAUAUUUUAAAUAUUUUAUUUAUCAAUAUAUAAUAAUUGAAUAAAAUUCAAAAUAUCUCCUGACAAUUAUCUCAAAAGACAACGAGGUCCUUAACAAAAAAAAAACCCAACUCGAUCCCUGACAAUUAUUUUAAAAGGACAACGAGGCUCUUGUACCAAAAAAAAGUUAAUGUUGUUUUUUUUGCACAGGGACUAAUCAGUCC